GCUUUCUGCCUCUCCUCUCGUGAGAUCCCCAGUGAACUGGUUUUGAAGAGCUCAGCUGGAAUUUGCUGACCCUCAUCCCCCGUUCCAGCAAGGUGGAGGAAAUCUCCCUGGAAUGAGAGGUGGUACCCACGGCCAGGAGAGAUGCUGAGCAGGAGGAGCAGAAACAGAAGUCAGCCUGGCAGGGCACUGCCCAGAAAUGUGUCCUCUCACAUAAGGACCCUUUUCCCUGCAGCUGGGACUCAGCCAGCGGGACUGCAGGAUCAUGAGGAUCAGGUGGCAGCAGCUGAGGAGAUGUCUCGGUCUUGCACCUUCUGCCUGGCACUCCUUUAGAAAUUUCCCCGGAGAAGAAGGAAGACUAGCUAAAGUGGAAAUAUAGAAAACAUAUUGAGGCAGAAAAAUUAUUCAGAUUUAAGGCUGCCUGUUCAACCCUUUGUGCACGUAUAUUAUGGCACAGUAGAUGGUAUGAUUCAAUUCCCCUCAAGUUUGCUUCCUAAAAGAUAGCUUGCUCUGCCUUCAAAUAACAUUUCCUUCCACCCUAAGACAGGUAUCUAAGAAAGGUGGGAUGGGGUCAGGCUAGGUGACACCCAGAGGUCCUUUCUAGCCUGAAUUACCCCAUGACCAUGGGAGUCCUCCUCCAAAGGUCUCUGACUGUAGAGAAACCCCAGAUGUCCAGACACACAGCCAGCUAGUGAGAUGAUUACAAACAUGUUCCAGAUGAUUGCUUUCCCUGGGACCAUUGCCUCUUUCCAGCUUGUGACAAUUCACCACAGCAGUGCUGCCACCAUCCUAACCCUGAAUCUAGGGGUACAGAUGUUUGAGGAGUUAAAAGAAAGUUUAUUUGGUGAUAAGCCAUCUCUAAACAACUUACUUUAGAGGUCCUGCACAUUUCCCUGAAGCAUUUGAUGCCAGAGAGAGUUUUCUGGCUUAGAGAGAUCCCUCAGCUGAUGCAGCCCAGUGGUGCCUGUGCUCCAGUUUAGACAAUGACUUUCAUGAGACACAACCAGAGUGGAAACUCUCCACCAAACAUGAGACCUUGUUAUAAAAUCACAGCAAUGAAAAAAAGGAUAUUUUUUAAAUCCUGGGCAUCCCUUCCCCGCAACUGUCCUUUGCACUACUGUGGCAUUUAAUGUUGAGUUUUACAGCCUGAGGGCAUUACAGUUAUCUCUAGCAAUGUGCUAAGGUAUGGAAAUGCAAACAUGGUGCUUGGGAAACCCUAACUGUGAUUUGUGGUGAUGAUAUGCCAUAGAGGCAUGACUGGGGCUGGAGCACUACGGUGACUUUUUAAAAUCCACGUUCAGCUACACUGGUAUUUAGAGGCGUGAUAAAUUUGUCUUAUGCUUUUCUCCUUGCUAAGACAGGGAAGGGGUAUGGCGCUUGGGAGUCAUAAAGUCUCUUUGCUGCAAGGACUCCUGCCUUAGGUCUGCUGUCUAUCCUGUACCCGAGGAGAAAAGCUGGCUUGCUGCUGCACCUGCCUCCAUUUCUUUUAGCUGUUGCAGCCAUGAGGCAUAUAAAAGAUUGAAAAUCAAGAGGAAAACAAACAGUAUUUGUGACUAUAUGCAGGGUCAGUGGUAGUAAAAGCCCGUCUUUGGAAAAAAAUCAUCUGAGAUGAUUCCAAGAUCUUUCAAAGCAUUGCAGUGCCUCUAGGUAUUUUUUGCCGUUCCUGUAUUUUUCUUGUUAAAUGUGUAGUUUAUAAUAUUUCUAUCUUAGUGCUUUACUGGGGACCAUAAAUACCUGAUGAAAAUCACUUUCAGACUACCUGGGAUGCUCUGAAAAGCAUGUGAGCAGUAAUAGUCCACAGGAACAUCUGCAUCCUGACAGUCUGUGAGUUUAUCUGGGUAGGGCUGCAUCCAUGUAGUGCUUCCAAUUUAAUUUCCACAUUUUUCCAAAGAAGAAGAAAAAUGUCUUAUGUUUCCUGGGUGACUGGAGGAAGGUUUUACUGUGCCAGGCAUCUCUAAUCUCCCCAUGCAAGAUUUCCUUAGUGGCAGACAGAGAGCAGCAGUCUGACUAGACACAGGAAAGUGGAUAAGGUCUGGAAAUGAUGCUUUAUAGAAGUGUGGGGUUUCAUCACAUUCUGCUAAAAAUAUCAGCUCACCUUCAAUAGAAAUCACAUGAGCUAUGAUCAUGAAAGCAAUUGAUGGGCUUGGGGUCUCAGUGAGCUCAGCCCUGCUCCUGCACAGCUACAAAUAAGCAACAUCUCCAAAUCCCUCUCCACUUCCAGAGAGCCACAAAUCUCUGCCCUUCUCUCCUGGAGAAGUCCCAACCGCUCUGUGUUGAUGGCGCGCUCGUGCCUUUCACGGGGGCUAAAUUAGCGGGAGGUUGGCUGCUGCUUGGAGGGCAGCCUUGCAAAGGCACGGAGCUGUGAGCUGGAGUGAUCAAUGGUGCAGAGGGCACCGUCACUGUGACGGGAGCUGGGUGCCAGGGAGGAAGGAGCAGGUGGUGUGAGCAACGACGCGGAGUGAGGUGCUGCAAACCUCCAGCAAUCGGCACCCACCCGACACAGGCAUAAACUGAUUGAGCUCAAGACCUGCCUGUCAAUACAUGCAAACGAUGUAGAUAGCAGUGACAUCCAGUGUGUGGCUGCUUCAAGAAAUUCAAAUUGGAUUGCCAAACUUUUCACCCUUACAGGAGUCUACCAGCUUACAGCUGCCCCCUCUGCAGCAGGAAACUGCUUCCAUUUAGAGCCGAACGAAGAGUGCAAGGAAAAAAAAAAAAUCAUGAAUAUUAAUUUGAAUUCAACUGAAUUUCAAUUAGGCUGUGUUCAGUCUCCACAAAUAUUUGAGCAGUGCUAUUGCAAAUAUGGUGAAAAAGCAAAUCUGUAACUUUAACACACAAAUAUUCACAAAAGAUAAAUUCUGAACUGCGUGCUCACAAUUCACGCCAGCUUGACUUGAA